CAAUCACUAGUCCUGUACAGCUUCCCACAGCAAUGAGCAGCACUGCAAGAUACCCCAAAAGCUCUCGCCUUGGAAAUCCACAGAGGUGAUAUAAAUGAAGAGGAGAAAAGAGGAAACU
rnacentral:lncRNA from 1 species